rnacentral:rRNA from 1 species
GGGGUGUAGCAAUACACUCGCUGGCGACCGGCAAACGGGUGCGGAACACGUACGCAACUUACCCUUAACUGAUGAAUAGCCCUCCGAAAGGAGGAUUAAUACAUCGUAACAUCAAGAGGUGGCAUCACCAUUUGAUUAUAGCUCCGGCGGUUAAGGAUGGGCGUGCGGCUGAUUAGGUAGUUGGCGGGGUAACGGCCCACCAAGCCUGCGAUCAGUAACUGGUGUGAGAGCACGACCAGUCACACGGGCACUGAGACACGGGCCCGACUCCUACGGGAGGCAGCAGUAAGGAAUAUUGGUCAAUGGACGCAAGUCUGAACCAGCCAUGCCGCGUGAAGGAUGAAGGUCCUCUGGAUUGUAAACUUCUUUUAUAUGGGACGAAAUCUCUUAUUCUUAAGAGUCUGACGGUACCAUAGGAAUAAGCACCGGCUAACUCCGUGCCAGCAGCCGCGGUAAUACGGAGGGUGCAAGCGUUAUCCGGAUUCACUGGGUUUAAAGGGUGCGUAGGAGGGCAGGUAAGUCAGUGGUGAAAUCUUCGAGCUUAACUCGGAAACUGCCGUUGAUACUAUCUGUCUUGAAUCCCGUGGAGGUGAGCGGAAUAUGUCAUGUAGCGGUGAAAUGCUUAGAUAUGACAUAGAACACCAAUUGCGAAGGCAGCUCGCUACACGAAGAUUGACUCUGAGGCACGAAAGCGUGGGGAUCAAACAGGAUUAGAUACCCUGGUAGUCCACGCCCUAAACGAUGGAUACUCGACAUACGCGAUACACUGUGUGUGUCUGAGCGAAAGCAUUAAGUAU